rnacentral:rRNA from 1 species
ACCCGGGGAUCCGAUCCUACGGGAGGCAGCAGUGAGGAAUAUUGGACAAUGGGCGCAAGCCUGAUCCAGCCAUGCCGCGUGCAGGAUGACGGUCCUAUGGAUUGUAAACUGCUUUUAUACGAGAAGAAACACCUCUACGUGUAGAGACUUGACGGUAUCGUAAGAAUAAGGAUCGGCUAACUCCGUGCCAGCAGGCGGGGUAAUACGGAGGAUCCAAGCGUUAUCCGGAAUCAUUGGGUUUAAAGGGUCCGUAGGCGGUCAGAUAAGUCAGUGGUGAAAGCCCAUCGCUCAACGGUGGAACGGCCAUUGAUACUGUCUGACUUGAAUUAUUAGGAAGUAACUAGAAUAUGUAGUGUAGCGGUGAAAUGCUUAGAGAUUACAUGGAAUACCAAUUGCGAAGGCAGGUUACUACUAAUAUAUUGACGCUGAUGGACAAAAGCGUGGGUAGCGAACAGGAUUAGAUACCCUGGUAGUCCACGCCGUAAACGAUGGAUACUAGCUGUUGGGAGCAAUCUCAGUGGCUAAGCGAAAGUGAUAAGUAUCCCACCUGGGGAGUACGUUCGCAAGAAUGAAACUCAAAGGAAUUGACGGGGGCCCGCACAAGCGGUGGAGCAUGUGGUUUAAUUCGAUGAUACGCGAGGAACCUUACCAAGGCUUAAAUGUAGAUUGACCGGUUUGGAAACAGACUUUUCGCAAGACAAUUUACAAGGUGCUGCAUGGUUGUCGUCAGCUCGUGCCGUGAGGUGUCAGGUUAAGUCCUAUAACGAGCGCAACCCCUGUUGUUAGUUGCCAGCGAGUCAUGCCGGGAACUCUAACAAGACUGCCAGUGCAAACUGUGAGGAAGGUGGGGAUGACGUCAAAUCAUCACGGCCCUUACGCCUUGGGCUACACACGUGCUACAAUGGCCGGUACAGAGAGCAGCCACUGGGCGACCAGGAGCGAAUCUAUAAAACCGGUCACAGUUCGGAUCGGAGUCUGCAACUCGACUCCGUGAGGCUGGAAUCGCUAGUAAUCGGAUAUCAGCCAUGAUCCGGUGAAUACGUUCCCGGGCCUUGUACACACCGCCAUCCAGUUGCUAG